rnacentral:rRNA from 1 species
AGAGUUUGAUCCUGGUCCUAAAUGUUUCCUGGCGGCGUGCUUAACACAUGCAAGUCGAACGAUGAAACCUAGCUUGCUAGGUGGAUUAGUGGCGCACGGGUGAGUAAUAUAUAGAUAAUGUACCUCUUAGUCUGGGAUAGCCAUUGGAAACGAUGAUUAAUACUAGAUACGCCUUCUCCUUCUAAUUGGAGUUGGGAAAGUUUUUCGCUAAGAGAUCAGUCUAUAUCCCAUCAGUUAGUUGGUAGGGUAAUGGCCUACCAAGGCAAUGACGGGUAGCGGGUUUGAGAGGAUGAUCCGCCACACUGGUACUGAGACACGGACCAGACUCCUACGGGAGGCAGCAGUGAGGAAUAUUGCACAAUGGAGGAAACUCUGAUGCAGCAACGCCGCGUGGAGGAUGACGCAUUUCGGUGUGUAAACUCCUUUUAUAUGUCAAGAAAAUGACGGUAGCAUAUGAAUAAGCACCGGCUAACUCCGUGCCAGCAGCCGCGGUAAUACGGAGGGUGCAAGCGUUAUUCGGAAUCACUGGGCGUAAAGGACGCGUAGGCGGGAAGCCAAGUCUGAUGUGAAAUCCUAUGGCUCAA